UACGUAGGUGGCAAGCGUUGUCCGGAUUUAUUGGGCGUAAAGAGCGUGUAGGCGGCCAGGUAGGUCCGUUGUGAAAACUCGAGGCUCAACCUCGAGACGUCGAUGGAAACCAUCUGGCUAGAGUCCGGAAGGGGCGAGUGGAAUUCCUGGUGUAGCGGUGAAAUGCGCAGAUAUCAGGAGGAACACCAAUGGCGGAGGCAGCUCGCUGGGACGUGACUGACGCUGAGACGCGAAAGCGUGGGGAGCAAACAGG
rnacentral:rRNA from 1 species